AGCCAGACACCCUAGAAGAGCCACAGGUCCCCUUCCCAGAAGAGUACCCAGGCUGUGUGUGCUGGGGCCCCUUUGGGUUGAAUCUCCUCUCCCUUUUGAACUGAAUCCCCAGAUCUGCUUCCUGUUGCAAGUGUCCCUUUUAUACUUCACCGUGUUUUGGGGUUAGAAGGUACUGAGGGCUACUGACAGCAGCUGCAAUUCGUUUUUUAAAGUAAAGUUGUAGACUCCUAGAAUUAUGUAGAAUCAGAACACGGAUUCUAUCAUUCUUCCAUUUCUUUGUGCAUUAAGACAAGGGAAGCAGCAGGUGUCUGGUCAGACAAGGGGCAGAAGGUGGUAACUUACUAUGGGGAAAGAGAAUUGGUUGUUCAGGGGCUUAUAGAUCUAAAGAGGACUAGAGCCAUAACGUAACACUAGACAGGGUUCCAGCAUUUUAAAGAACCUGUCUUCUUAAACUGUGCUGUGAGCCCACUGAGGUCAAAACAACUGUCUGCCGUCGGGGCCAACCACACGGUAAGCAAAGUUUGGAAUCACUGAUUUCAAAGCUCCUAUGUCCUGAAUCCCUGAAAGCUGGUUGAUGACUGGAUGAAGACUUGUAAAAAAUAAGCUUUGCUGUCCUUCGUGUUGCUGUAGGAAUGGCUCUAAAAUCAUCCUUCAAACACAAAACAGAUUAUAUUUGGACAUGCUGGAACUCAAAUAGAACCUUCUCCAUUGGAGGUCUUACGACUGAAAAUUUGAGUCCACAGUUCGUCAUUACUCCUUUUCUUUUCUUUUUUGUUGGUAUUAUGUUCUUAUGGAAUGUAUAUGAUUUACCCUUGUUCAUUCAAAUGCUGAUUUAUCUAACCCACUAUCUGGUUUCAAUCCGGACAAUGCACUGUGAUGCUUACUCUAAGCAUCACCUGUCUCAAGUUUGUGUAAACAUGCUACCAUUUGUUCUCUGUAUUUUCAAUAAAACAACCAGCCAAUGAUGA